ensembl:lncRNA
UGACCUUUUAGAGGAAGCUUAUUUUAAAUCAAAUGCGCGCUGCAUGAUGUCUUCUGCAUUUUCUUACUGCCCCAGAUUUGUCACUUCCUGCUUCUGACUGUCAGCUUCCUGCAGUUCAUCUGCUUCCUUGUUGCAUUCUGAUAAGCAGACGUUGACCUUCAGUGCAGAAUAACAUUAGAAGAAUUUAUGAGACAACACUAGGCUGUAUGAAAUCGCACUGAAAAGUGUUUAGUGAGCUAUUAAAGCAUCACAUCAUUACAAGAGACGCUUUAAACAUCUACUGACCUAAAGGUCUCGUGAGAAAUCCUUUCUUCCCGCUCAUAUCCGUGUGUUAGAGUGGAAGCAGGCGUAUGCCGGUCACCGUUCCCCUGAGGUCAGGCUACACAGAUGAAAGACUCUUCCUGGCUGUUCUGAGAACAGUGCAUCCUGGGAAAAGAGAAGAAGACAUGGGAUCUGAGGAACUUCCAGUUCCAUUCCUUCAUUCGGUUUCUUCUGCUUCCUGCUUCCUCUGCUGCAACACUGUGGGCAAAAAGCUGAGAAAAUGACUACAUGCAGAUCAGAUUCACAUCGAUGAUCAAAAGAUGGAGUUGACUGCUUCCAUCUAAACCACUUCCUGGAUCGACAUUUCAUUCAUGAUAAUGUUAGGAUGAUUUCUGCCUCACUGAAGACCUCCUGAACGCUCUUCCCAGCACUUUCUCCUUCAGCUGCUGGGAAACCUUUACAUUUUCUGCUCAGUGUGACGCAGCAGAUAGACCUUAACAACAGUCCUUGCUGAUUUUCCUGUCCGCAGCCUGUUUCAGGAUGUCUGA